rnacentral:rRNA from 1 species
GAUGAACGCUGGCGGCGUGCCUAAUACAUGCAAGUCGAGCGAACAGAUAAGGAGCUUGCUCCUUUUACGUUAGCGGCGGACGGGUGAGUAACACGUGGGUAACCUACCUAUAAGACUGGAAUAACUCCGGGAAACCGGGUCUAAUGCCGGAUAACAUUUAGAACCGCAUGGUUCUAAAGUGAAAGAUGGUUUUGCUAUCACUUAUAGAUGGACCCUCGCCGUAUUAGCUAGUUGGUAAGGUAACGGCUUACCAAGGCAACGAUACGUAGCCGACCUGAGAGGGUGAUCGGCCACACUGGAACUGAGACACGGUCCAGACUCCUACGGGAGGCAGCAGUAGGGAAUCUUCCGCAAUGGGCGAAAGCCUGACGGAGCAACGCCGCGUGAGUGAUGAAGGUCUUCGGAUCGUAAAACUCUGUUAUUAGGGAAGAACAAAUGUGUAAGUAACUGUGCACGUCUUGACGGUACCUAAUCAGAAAGCCACGGCUAACUACGCG